GAUGAACGCUGGCGGCGUGCCUAAUACAUGCAAGUCGAGCGAACAGACGAGGAGCUUGCUCCUUCGACGUUAGCGGCGGACGGGUGAGUAACACGUAGGUAACCUACCUAUAAGACUGGGAUAACUUCGGGAAACCGGAGCUAAUACCGGAUAAUAUUUCGAACCGCAUGGUUCGAUAGUGAAAGAUGGCUUUACUAUCACUUAUAGAUGGACCUGCGCCGUAUUAGCUAGUUGGUAAGGUAACGGCUUACCAAGGCAACGAUACGUAGCCGACCUGAGAGGGUGAUCGGCCACACUGGAACUGAGACACGGUCCAGACUCCUACGGGAGGCAGCAGUAGGGAAUCUUCCGCAAUGGGCGAAAGCCUGACGGAGCAACGCCGCGUGAGUGAUGAAGGUCUUCGGAUCGUAAAACUCUGUUAUUAGGGAAGAACAAACGUGUAAGUAACUGUGCACGUCUUGACGGUACCUAAUCAGAAAGCCACGGCUAACUACGUG
rnacentral:rRNA from 1 species